CCGGAGCUUGCUGCCAUCGGAAAAAGAGGAGUGGCGAACGGGUGAGUAACACGUGGGUAACCUGCCCAUCAGAAGGGGAUAACACUUGGAAACAGGUGCUAAUACCGUAUAACAAUCGAAACCGCAUGGUUUCGAUUUGAAAGGCGCUUUCGGGUGUCGCUGAUGGAUGGACCCGCGGUGCAUUAGCUAGUUGGUGAGGUAACGGCUCACCAAGGCGACGAUGCAUAGCCGACCUGAGAGGGUGAUCGGCCACAUUGGGACUGAGACACGGNCCAAACUCCUACGGGAGGCAGCAGUAGGGAAUCUUCGGCAAUGGACGAAAGUCUGACCGAGCAACGCCGCGUGAGUGAAGAAGGUUUUCGGAUCGUAAAACUCUGUUGUUAGAGAAGAACAAGGAUGAGAGUAACUGUUCAUCCCUUGACGGUAUCUAACCAGAAAGCCACGGCUAACUACGUGCCAGCAGCCGCGGUAAUACGUAGUGGCAAGCGUUGUCCGGAUUUAUUGGGCGUAAAGCGAGCGCACGCGGUUUCUUAAGUCUGAUGUGAAACCCCCCGGCUCA
rnacentral:rRNA from 1 species